ACAUGCUGGUCGAGCGGUAACAUUUCAAAAGCUUGCUUUUGAAGAUGACGAGCGGCGGACGGGUGAGUAAUGCCUGGGAAUUUGCCCAUUUGUGGGGGAUAACAGUUGGAAACGACUGCUAAUACCGCAUACGCCCUACGGGGGAAAGCAGGGGACCUUCGGGCCUUGCGCUGAUGGAUAAGCCCAGGUGGGAUUAGCUAGUAGGUGAGGUAAAGGCUCACCUAGGCGACGAUCCCUAGCUGGUCUGAGAGGAUGAUCAGCCACACUGGGACUGAGACACGGCCCAGACUCCUACGGGAGGCAGCAGUGGGGAAUAUUGCACAAUGGGGGAAACCCUGAUGCAGCCAUGCCGCGUGUGUGAAGAAGGCCUUCGGGUUGUAAAGCACUUUCAGCGAGGAGGAAAGGGUGUAAGUUAAUACCUUACAUCUGUGACGUUACUCGCAGAAGAAGCACCGGCUAACUCCGUGCCAGCAGCCGCGGUAAUACGGAGGGUGCGAGCGUUAAUCGGAAUUACUGGGCGUAAAGCGUGCGCAGGCGGUUUGUUAAGCGAGAUGUGAAAGCCCCGGGCUCAACCUGGGAACCGCAUUUCGAACUGGCAAACUAGAGUCUUGUAGAGGGGGGUAGAAUUCCAGGUGUAGCGGUGAAAUGCGUAGAGAUCUGGAGGAAUACCGGUGGCGAACGCGGCCCCCUGG
rnacentral:rRNA from 1 species